UUCAAAUAAUCUUGUAAUCACGAACUUAUUUACUAUUAAUCAACUAUUAACAAUUACAAUUUCUAAAUAUGUUCAGCAAUUAAAAAAUUCCGUUGUAAUCAAAUUUUGUAUCAGAGAAUUUUUUUUUCAGAGGUUGCGAUUAUACUCAAUUCAGUUAGGUUGAGAUGAUGGCGUGGGUAGCCCAAAGAAUCACUUGUUGGACAACGAUUUUUCUUAUUAUUGGAUUAAAAGAAGUCUUAAGUGUGCAUGGCAAUGUUAUGGAAAAUAGAGACGAUAAUAUACCUACUAGAAAAUGUCUCAGAGACUGCGAAUCCGACUAUGAACAAUGUUUAUCUAUCAUUGAAAGCGUUCUCUCUGACUCAUUUGGUAUAAAUGAAAAACAUAUAUGUUUAUAUGCUUCGAUGCAAUGUAAAUUUAAAUGCGGUAUUCGAAAGAUGUUAAAACACUAUUAAAUAACAAACUUCUAUUUCACAAUUAAAACAUUUUUGGACACAUAAAAAUGGCAUGAAACACCAUUUUACAGAGAACUUAAUUAUUUCUAAUUUUUAAAUAUUGUAAAAUAAAUUAUUUUAAAUUAAUUUAAUUAAUAAUAA